rnacentral:rRNA from 1 species
CAAUAGCGUAUAUUAAAGUUGUUGCAGUUAAAAGCUCGUAGUUGGAUUUCUGGGAGGGUGCCAAUGUCCGUCGUCGUACGUGUUGCAGCGGCGCCCUUCCAUCCUUCUGUUAACGACUUUGGGCAUUCAUUUGCCGGAGUCGGGCUCAGAUAUUUUACCUUGAGAAAAUUAGAGUGUUUCAGGCAGGCUAGGCCGGAAUACAUUAGCAUGGAAUAAUGGAAUAGGACUACGGUCUCUUUGUUGGUUUGAGGGACUGCAGUAAUGAUUAAUAGGGAUAGUUGGGGGCGAUUAGUAUUUAAUUUGUCAGAGGUGGAAUUACUCGGAUUUGUUUAAAGAACUAACUUAAUGCGAAAGACAUUUGUCCAA